CAGCAAGUUAAGAAGGCAGUAAAGGCUAAAGAGGGGGUGGUUGCUGGAAUAGGGAUUUUCAAUUAUGUAUUCUACUAACUGUUGCAAGUUUGGUCCCAAUAAAAAUCCCUCCACCCAAGGUAGGAAAGAAGAUGGAAUUUGCAAGAGUUUUAGAAAUCAUAGAGGAGGCCCACUCUUGAGACUUACUAUAGGUUUUUAGUUUCUUCAGUUUGAGCAGGAGAGAAGAGAAUCAGAGAUUGGGCUAUCAUUCAAUUUGAGCGCAAACACAAAGACCAAUAAAUACUAGAAAUUUGGAUUCUUAAUCCAAAAAUUUUUAAAGAGGAAAACGUGAUUGCUAGAGGGCAAGGAACUAUUAAAAAGGAGCAAGGGUGAGUAAUCAGAAUUGCCCAAGUCACCAACUUUGUAGAAAUAAGAGGGAAAAAUCUCCAGCCAAGCAUCAUUGACAAGAAUCUGAUCCAAUUUUAUGUGAAUAGAAUCCUCAAUGCGUUGAUUAUGUCAAGCAUAAAAGUGACCAACAUAAUCCAGCUCAUGAACCCCAAUAAUAAUAUAAAUGAGCUCAUUAAAAUCCCAAAGCUUAGAAUUAGGAAUAAAAUUGCCCUAGUCAAAAUUGCUCCUACAAGAAUUAAAAUCAUCCAUAAUCAACCCUGGACCCAAAGCAUUUUGAACAACAUCUUUUAUUUGAUGCCAGAGAAGCAGCCGAUCUUCAUAAGAAUUAGACGCAUAGACUACAGAGAUGAAGCAGGAGGAAUUCGGACCAUAACUGAGGGAGCCAUGUACCAUUUGACAUGAAUAAAAAGAGGGUUGAAAGGAAAGAGUAGAUGCGUUCCAUUUUAACCACAUUCUACCAGGAGAGGAGACAUCAAAAUUAUUAAAGCUGCCCUCAUUAUCAAAAAUUGCAUGAAAUUGAAUAAACCAUGGGUCAGAAGCAACCGAUUGAGAAAUUUUUGCUUCUAAAAUACACAUCAUUUCAAGUUUGUAAGAACAAACCAACUCCUUACAAGCUUGAACCUUGACUGGGCAAUUAAACCCCCUCACAUUCCAAGACAUUUAGUUGGGAAGGGCCAUUGGGCUUUUGGGUUGGGGUGGAUUCCUUUUUGGCAUUUUUAGAUUGGGUGGGUUUUAUAGCUUGGACAUUAGCAGAGGUGAUCUACUGAUUGUUAGUCGAGUUUGUUGUUGGUGGGCUUUCAUCUGAGGUAGCUGAAGUGGAAACAGUGUAAAGAUGAAGCACAAAAAAAUUAUUCUAUUCAAGAAUGACUACUAGGUUUGUUGAAAGAAGGCACGAGUAUGUAACCUGGGCCAAAAAAUGGUCACCAGAAGGGAAAUUCAAGUUAGGAAUGAGAUCUUUUUCAUUCCCAGAAGGAGCAGCAGAGGAGAGAAUUUGUGAUGUUCCGGCGAUGUUCGAAGGUGUGGAAUUUUGGGUAGCAGGGGAGGUUGGUGAUUGCCAGGAGGGUGGGUUUGGGGAUUUCGCGGAAUGGAGACAAGGUUGGUUGGAGGUUUAGUAAUGCGGAGACGUGGCUGGAUUGUCUGAGUUUGCAUCUUGUGCUGUGGCCUCUGGGCUGAUGGGAUAUUACAGGCUGAGGGGGAAAGGUUUUUUGGUGACAAGGGUUAGUUGGGUGGACAAGCGAGACACAGCCCCCACAAACCGAAAGGUUGGCUUCAUCAGGCAGUAAGGAAUAGAUGUACACAUGCGCAAAGGUCAGACGAGUUCUACCUGUUCUAAGAGCGUCAACAGCCAGGAGAGGGAUGUUCGAUUAAGCUAGCAAUCUUCAAAAUGCCCAACAGAUUCCAGCACGCCAGUGACAAAUCAUGGAUUUUCAUCCAUAAAGGGUUAGAGGUGAACUCAUCCCGCUUAGGGCUCAAGAGAGGGGCAUGCCCAAGAGAGGGUUCCACUUCUGAAGUAUGAACCGCUUCCCGAGGAGGGGUGCGAGCUGCUUGCCGUAAAUCCCGGAUUUACUAAAUCCUAUAGUUCGGCUGAUUUACUAAAUCCUAUAGGGCUUACAGCUCGCUCUUCGCUCCUAAACAACUUUGUAAGGGCAAUACAUGGUGGUAUGGGAAAGACAACUCUCUUGCAACAUGUCCAUAAAAAUGAAAGUUACCGUCGUUGCUUCCGAUCAAAACGUCGUAACUUCCGAUCCGACAGGCGAAGGGCGAAGUCGAACAGCAACGAAGGAGGCGAAGCUGCGACUCGUGCAAUCUCUACAACUGCGAAGCAACAAG